GACGAACGCUGGCGGCGUGCUUAACACAUGCAAGUCGAACGGAAAGGCCCUGCUUUUGUGGGGUGCUCGAGUGGCGAACGGGUGAGUAACACGUGAGUAACCUGCCCUUGACUUUGGGAUAACUUCAGGAAACUGGGGCUAAUACCGGAUAGGAGCUCUUGCUGCAUGGUGGGGGUUGGAAAGUUUCGGCGGUUGGGGAUGGACUCGCGGCUUAUCAGCUUGUUGGUGGGGUAGUGGCUUACCAAGGCUUUGACGGGUAGCCGGCCUGAGAGGGUGACCGGCCACAUUGGGACUGAGAUACGGCCCAGACUCCUACGGGAGGCAGCAGUGGGGAAUAUUGCACAAUGGGCGGAAGCCUGAUGCAGCAACGCCGCGUGCGGGAUGACGGCCUUCGGGUUGUAAACCGCUUUCGCCUGUGACGAAGCGUGAGUGACGGUAAUGGGUAAAGAAGCACCGGCUAACUACGU
rnacentral:rRNA from 1 species